GAUGAAGAACGCAGCGAAAUGCGAUACGUAGUGUGAAUUGCAGAAUUCAGUGAAUCAUCGAAUCUUUGAACGCACAUUGCGCCCCUUGGUAUUCCAUGGGGCAUGCCUGUUCGAGCGUCAUUUGUACCUUCAAGCUCUGCUUGGUGUUGGGUGUUUGUCUCGCCUCUGCGUGUAGACUCGCCUCAAAACAAUUGGCAGCCGGCGUAUUGAUUUCGGAGCGCAGUACAUCUCGCGCUUUGCACUCAUAACGACGACGUCCAAAAGUACAUUUUUACCCUCUUGACCUCGGAUCAGGUAGGGAUACCCGCUGAACUUAAGCAUAUCAAUAAGCGGAGGA
rnacentral:misc_RNA from 1 species